GGCGUAAGGGUUUGUAGGCAGCUUUAAUUAAUUAAAGAUUGAAUCAAAUAGAGGUCAAGAGAAUUCCUAGAUUAGGGUUGAUAUCUGUAUAAACUAGGAAGAAUUCUAAUUAGCGAAGGCACUUUUCCAUCUAAUGAUUGACGCUGAGACACGAAGGGGAGGAUCGACAAUAGGAUUAGAUACCCUGGCAUCCCUCUCUGUAAACGAUGAAUGGUAGUUGCUAAUCAUAAUAAUUAGUGAUGAGGCUAACGCGUUAACCAUUCCGCCUUGUGAGUACGACUGCAAAGUUGAAAACAAAAAAAUUAGUCGGUUUCGGAGCAAACGAAGUGAAGCAUGUUAUUUAAUUCGAUAAUCCGC
rnacentral:rRNA from 2 species